GCCUAUUUUACCAUUGCGGACGAGAUAGGCAGAAAAAGGAGCGUUUGACUUGGAGUCUGCCCCUGAUUUUAGUCCAAAGGAGCUGCUCUUUGAAAUGGCGUGUCCAGCUUUGGCGUUUGCCUGCUGAGGAAGAGUAG
rnacentral:lncRNA from 1 species